UGAGUUUUAGUCAGGUGGACAGGUAAAAUCAUGUCCUGUCAACUUGCAGUGUCUCACUACAUAAUAGGAUGAGUUAUAACAACCUCAACUUGAAGGGAAAUGGAAAACUUAAAAUAACGUGUUCAUAUAACAACAAAACAGAGGUUCUUUCAACUUUCAAUUUUCUGCGCAUGUGCCAGAAACUCUACGUCACGAUGACGUACUAUUUUAACGAAUUUGAGCCAGACGCGCCAUCGCCAUUUUCUACACGAGAAGACGAGAUCACGACGACACUAGUUGCUGAUGCGAGGAAAAAGACGAAGGAGCUCGUAUUUGAAUGUCUACAGAUGGAUUUUUAUAUAAAGUCUAGAAAAGGAAAGAGCAAAUGGCUGUGGAGAUGAUGACUCCAGACAUUACAUUUGUUGAUGCUGCUAUGAGCAGCACGUAUUCUUUGAGAAGGCAAGAAGUCGUUGAUGAGGAGCCACCAGUGUCACAAAUGAAAAUCCGAUGGCCAGCAAUUUUCACUGAGAGACAGAUCAGCAAAGAAUUCACCAGGCUUGUGUCAAAGGAUCUGAGCAAGUCCUUUUUGGAAGGUCUUAGAUGGUCAUCUCUCGAAGCUGAUACAGUUAUUCCUAACAAAGCGUUAUGAGGACAUUCCAGAAAUGACUUCAAUACUGGA